rnacentral:lncRNA from 1 species
AUGGAUGAAGAGAAACUCAUCACUGAGGUGAAAAACCACAGCAUGAUUUAUGACAAUUCACAUCGUUUUUAUAAGGACAACUACAAAAAAGAAAAAGCUUGGAAAGACAUUGCAGAAGCAAUGGGAGUGGAUGCUGAUACUUGCAAGGCAAAAUGGAGGACAUUAAGAGACUCUUUUGUGAGACAAAGGAAGAAAGUAUCUGCAAGUGGAUCAGCAGGAGGCCCUCAAAAAGAAUGGAAGUUUAAUGACAUAAUGUCCUUUCUUGUACUCCACAUACAGCAAAGAAGGACUGGCAAAAAUCAUAUAACAGUUUGUUCACAUAAAAUUCGUGAGGGUGUAAGUGCAGGGGAGGAAACACCAUCUCCAGCCCUGUCAACCUGUGGAUCUGAUGAGCAGGCCUCAGAGAUGCAACCACCCCCAUUACUCUCCUCAGUGCCCUCUCCAUCACAGCCCACUACAGCUGGGGAGAGAGACAGGUCCCAUAGGUCUCGGAGCCCAAGGAAGAGGGAGUUUCCGGACCAAACAACAUCGGUGACAAGGAAGAGAGCAGGAGCACCUGAACUGGUGGACAGGCGUCCGUCCACACGACAAGAACCACCUUCAAAACCAGAGUCAGAACUGGAUGAAUGCUAUCAUUUUGCACUCAGCCUGGUGCCAUUACUCCAUAGACUUGACCAUAACAACAGGCAGCACGCGAAAAUUGGCAUCCUGAACUUGCUGUCAGUAAAGCCGCACGUUCAGCUGACAAACAACUGGAGCUGCAACACCCCCCCCUGCACACCCGCCACCGUACCUCCACCCAGGCAAGGUACUUUCAGGCCAAAUACCCACCCCCCCACCAAUGAAACCAUUUGGCCUAUUUAA